GUCUGAUCCUCAACGUGGUGACUCCAUCAGGGCAAGGCAGAGGACUCAAGGCCCUCCAUAAUGGCCAGUUGUCUGGGAGGCUGCGCGGGUGGAGGAAGCCAUGACUAUUUUUGGAGCAGAGUGAGUUGUGUGCGGGGUGAUGUGCUGCCAUUGCGAUGUGCCUUUCCUUCCAGCUGUGCCCCGUAUGGAGGAGAAUUACAGAAAGCUGUGGUCAGUCAAGUAUUGCAGGGGGAGCUCAUUCCUGCUCUAGCUAGAGUGAAGCCACGAAGGACAGAGAGAAGAUGCAGAGCUGAAAAACAUACCAGGACACUCUGGCCAAGCUACCAGAGCUGCAGCCAACUCUGGGGCCUCUUCUCCUGUGGGGUAUGGAAAGCCGGAUGCAAAAGCAGGAGAUCAAGGAAAGUAUGCACAGGCUCACCACUUUUUCCAGUCAGGCUGUUUGCUCUUGGUCUGAGAGUGUUUUGAGGGCAAAGGCCUUUGGGUCUUAUGGACAUCUCUCACCGUCAUCCUGGCUGCACUAAAUGAGCUACUAAAGGAAAUUGGGCCCCAUUACAUUGAUGCACCAUGGCUAACUGCUCACUGAUCUCUUGACUGCUGAAGUUAAAAGAGUUUCUAAAGUGUCAUUCCAUCUGCAACAAAAUGGAUUUUGUAGUGAAGCAGAAGACAGGAAUUGAUGAGAUGACUCUGGCUCUGCUGAGCUGGAGUUCUUGGGGCAU